CUGUGCGUGAGCAGCUGCAGCGGCAGAGGCAGCAUCCAGAGGUGGCGCCAGCAGUUCCAGCCCGUUGCUUUACUUUUUGCUACACCGACAUAGCCACUAUGCAGAAGAGAAAGUCUCCAGAGAAUACAGAGGGCAAAGAUGGCUCCAAAGUAACUAAACAGGAGCCCACAAGAUGGUCUCCCAGAUUGUCAGCAAAACCUCCUCCACCAAAACCUGGACCCAAACCAAGAAAAACAUCUGCUAAGAAAGAACCUGGAGCAAAGGUUAGCAGAGGUGCUAAAGAGAAGAAAGGAAAAGUAGGAAGCUGGAAAGGAAGGUACUGCACCAGCUGAAAAUGAUGAAACUAAAGCUGAAGAGGCACAGAAAACUGAAUCUGGAGAUAACCAGGGAGAAUAAAUUGUCAUGAAAAACAGGUUAAUUUUAUGUAUCUCUUAGGUGAACUUUUAAAAGCUGUUUUUACUAAGUAUUUUCUAAAUGCUAAUUUUUUAGGACUCUACUAGUUGGCAUACAAAAAUAUGUAAGGAUGGACAUUUUACCCUCUCAUAAUCAUGCUUUUUGGACAUUUCCAUCAUCCUCAAGUAAAAUAAAUAUCAGUUUAAUAUUGGAAACUGUGUGUAAGAUUGAUUCAGCAUUCCAUGCACUUGCUUUAAAAUUUAGUCCUGUGUAUACUGUGGUGUUUUUACUGUGCAUAUUUGAGUUUUUCAUGCAUUUUUCUAGAUCAAUAAUCAGUGGUGCUUUUGUACCUAGGUUUUAUGUGAUUUUAAUAAAACAUGGAUAGUUAUGGCCACCUGCUGACAAUUUGAGGUUUAAAAUA
rnacentral:lncRNA from 10 species